GAUUUUAGUUCUGUUUUUCAAAUGUUUCCUCUUUCAGCCAUCACUUACCUUGCCAGGCAAGGGGAGCAGUUGCUCAAUAGACAUCUGUGGUGGGAAAGCAAGAAGUUACUUUCAUCAUACAACAUUGCAGAAAUCAUCCUUGUAACUAAUAAGAAAGAUAUGAGAACCCUGAAGGGCUGUAAGAUGGGUCUUCAAUAGCAGAAAUAACAAGCAGAAACAACAACAAGAUUUGGUGACUCUGCAAAUGGAUCAUUUGGUAACUACAUGGAAAAUAUAAAUUUUAAGUAGACUGGAAUGCUCAGGAUUAUGGGAAAAUAUUUUUUUACAGUAAGCGCAGCCUAAUAGUGAGAAGAGAGAACCAAAUUUUUGUCUCUAUUGACUUCUUUUCUCUCUUACUCCUGCUUUUAAGAACUACCUUUGAUUUUGCUUUAUCUUCUGAGAAAUAGGAAAGUGUUUAGUGUUGCUCAC
rnacentral:lncRNA from 1 species